rnacentral:lncRNA from 10 species
GUGUCAAUCUCCUCACCUCAUGAUCCACCUGCCUCGGCCUCCCAAAGUGCUAGGAUUACAGGCGUGAGCCACCACGCCCUACCGGAAAGAGUCUUAUGAAGACUUUUCAUAAGUGUUAAUAGGGAUUUUAUCAGCUUAUUUUGGUUGCAGUUUCCAAUUUCUUAAAAUGUUGAGGUAAUCUUUUCCACCUUCCCAAUCCUAAUUCUUGUAGAUUCAUUAAUGUUAAACCAAUGCCUUCUCAUAUCUCAAUUUUUUGUAUAUGCAUUCUUUUCAGAUGUAUUAAACAAACGAAAGCCCUUCACAAGCCAAAAAAAAAAAGCUAUAAACAGCUCAAAAGAAAAAAAAGGUUUUCUAGACUCUGAAAAACAAAAGAAUGAGCAACAUUUCAAACAAAAAAGCAAUGAAAAGAUUACUCCCGUCUUCCUUUAGUUCAGUCUAUGUAAUUGACUUCUGUUCUGCUCAAUAUUCAGGAACACAUUAGCUGUCUGUGGGAGUCUUGGAAGUUUCUCCUCUAUUCUAAUGCCACAACUGCCAAAGUUCUUAGAAACUUGCCUUCAAGAGCACCUGUCAGAGUCCUAUAGCUGAUUAUAAAACCACCUUGAAAAUAAAGUAAAACAAUUGUGGAUGAGGAAAUCUCAGAACGGCCACAGUUAACGUCUGGUCAUCUCUGUGGUACACAAUAAUUUCAC